GAUGAACGCUGGCGGCGUGCCUAAUACAUGCAAGUCGAGCGAACAGACGAGGAGCUUACUCCUCUGACGUUAGCGGCGGACGGGUGAGUAACACGUGGAUAACCUACCUAUAAGACUGGGAUAACUUCGGGAAACCGGAGCUAAUACCGGAUAAUAUAUUGAACCGCAUGGUUCAAUAGUGAAAGACGGUUUUGCUGUCACUUAUAGAUGGAUCCGCGCCGCAUUAGCUAGUUGGUAAGGUAACGGCUUACCAAGGCAACGAUGCGUAGCCGACCUGAGAGGGUGAUCGGCCACACUGGACCUGAGACACGGUCCAGCCUCCUACGGGGGGCAGCAGUGGGGAAUCUUCCGCAAUGGGCGAAAGCCUGCCGGGGCAACGCCGCGUGAGUGAUGAAGGUCUUCGGUUCGUAAACCUCUGUUAUAGGGAAGAACAAAUGUGUAAGUAACUAUGCACGUCUUGACGGUACCUAAUCAGAAAGCCACGGCUAACUACGUG
rnacentral:rRNA from 1 species